AGUGAACGCUGGCGGUAGGCCUAACACAUGCAAGUCGAACGGCAGCACAGUAAGAGCUUGCUCUUACGGGUGGCGAGUGGCGGACGGGUGAGGAAUACAUCGGAAUCUACUUUUUCGUGGGGGAUAACGUAGGGAAACUUACGCUAAUACCGCAUACGACCUACGGGUGAAAGCAGGGGAUCUUCGGACCUUGCGCGAUUGAAUGAGCCUAUGUCGGAUUAGCUAGUUGGCGGGGUAAAUGCCCACCAAGGCGACGAUCCGUAGCUGGUCUGAGAGGAUGAUCAGCCACACUGGAACUGAGACACGGUCCAGAGUCCUACGGGAGGCAGCAGUGGGGAAUAUUGGAGAAUGGGCGCAAGCCUGAUCCAGCCAUACCGCGUGGGUGAAGAAGGCCUUCGGGUUGUAAAGCCCUUUUGUUGGGAAAGAAAAGCAGCAGGUUAAUACCCCGCUGUUCUGACGGUACCCAAAGAAUAAGCACCGGCUAACUUCGUG
rnacentral:rRNA from 1 species